rnacentral:rRNA from 1 species
GAUGAACGCUGGCGGCGUGCUUAACACAUGCAAGUCGAACGAAGCACUUUUGAUUCUUCGGAAGAGGAAGUGACUGAGUGGCGGACGGGUGAGUAACGCGUGGGUAACCUGCCUUAUACAGGGGGAUAACAGUUAGAAAUGACUGCUAAUACCGCAUAAGCCGAUAGAGUCGCAUGACUUAGUCGGAAAAGAUUUAUCGGUAUAAGAUGGACCCGCGUCUGAUUAGCUAGUUGGUGAGGUAAUGGCCCACCAAGGAGACGAUCAGUAGCCGGCUUGAGAGAGUGAACGGCCACAUUGGGACUGAGACACGGCCCAAACUCCUACGGGAGGCAGCAGUGGGGAAUAUUGCACAAUGGGGGAAACCCUGAUGCAGCAACGCCGCGUGAAGGAAGAAGUAUUUCGGUAUGUAAACUUCUAUCAGCAGGGAAGAAAAUGACGGUACCUGACUAAGAAGCCCCGGCUAACUACGUGCCAGCCGCCGCAGUAACAC